CUAAACAUUUGCUUCCUGCUCAGGCAAGCUUGAGAAGACAGGAUCAAGGGAGUUUUGUGGUCCAGUGAGCAAAGGAUGGGAAAAUCAGAAAGAUUUUGAGUUAUAAUCCCAGUUGAGCUACCAGGUGACCUUUAGGCAAGUCAUUCGACCUCCCUGUGCCUCAUGCUCCCAGCUGGAAAAUUGGAUAAGACCAGCAGGAUAUCACUGAAAACCAGAUGCUACACCGAACUCAAGCUUUCCCAGCUCAAUAAAUUACCACCAAAGGGGCGGGGGUGGGGAGGGGCAAUCUAUCAGCCCAUGUGAAAUGCCCAAUUAAUGACAUUAGGUUACUCUUUAUAUUAAAAAGUUAUUAAUUUCUCCCAUAUUCAUCAAAACGAACUAAUAAAAUGAGUAAUUCAAACAUGAGUACUAUUUCCUGAGAUAUUUAGAAGUGUCACUCUGGCUUGCCUUGACUUUGCCAUAGCGUAUUUGUAGGUUAAUAAUUGUUACAAUCCCAGUCUUGCCUCAUUACACCUUCCCAUGGCAAGUCACGCCAGUGUCAAUGACACACAGCUAGAACAACAAAGAGAAGGUCAAAACGGGAGUUUAUUUCCCCAUGUUUCAAACAAAAUAAACUUGCAGUUUCUAUAUGAAACAGGACAAUAAUGUUUUGUGUUAGAUAUUAACGUGAUAUUUAGAUGGAGAGUAAAAAUUCCAUCACUCAUUAGAAUGUUUUGUCUCUGUCAAUAAUGAACAACUUCUUACCUACAAAGACUAAAUCAGAAAACAAAAAAGAAAAAUAAAACUGGAGUUUUUUUUUAGUUUUAAUUAAAAUGUCUUUAUUAGCCUCAUGGAAAAAAAGUAUAUUAAUUCAAGUUAAAUAAUCUACUUGACCAACUAGAAGGAUGUUUGUGAUGAAACCGACAUUGCUUUUCCACAUGAAAAAGUUAACCCUUCACAGAAAAGAGAUGUUGAAUGUGACAGCUGGCAGUGCCCUGGCUGGCCAGUGCAGAUGGUGGAGAAGCCAACAGAAGAUAUUGAGGAAACUCAGAAAUUAUCAACCACUGAAAACUGGGGAGAAAGAAGAGGUGCCCCCAGGAAAGCUGUGGGCGGGUCUGCCACAGCAGGAGUUUCAAGAGAAAAACAGUCAUGUGUCAACCUUAAAUUCACUCCCUCUUCUCCUUUAUCCUUGCCUCACAAACAAUAAUAUCCAUGAAAUCAUGGGCUUAAAACAUAACAUUUUUUCCUAGUCUAAUUAAAAUAAAGUUAUGACUUUUUAAAAUAAAAACUUUUCUAAUGCAUGUUAAAA
rnacentral:lncRNA from 10 species